rnacentral:rRNA from 1 species
AGUCGAGCGCAGGAAAUCGACGGAACCCUUCGGGGGGAAGUCGAUGGAAUGAGCGGCGGACGGGUGAGUAACACGUAAAGAACCUGCCCUCAGGUCUGGGAUAACCACGAGAAAUCGGGGCUAAUACCGGAUGGGUCAUCGGACCGCAUGGUCCGAGGAUGAAAGGCGCUUCGGCGUCGCCUGGGGAUGGCUUUGCGGUGCAUUAGCUAGUUGGUGGGGUAAUGGCCCACCAAGGCGACGAUGCAUAGCCGACCUGAGAGGGUGAUCGGCCACACUGGGACUGAAACACGGCCCAGACUCCUACGGGAGGCAGCAGUAGGGAAUCUUCCACAAUGGACGAAAGUCUGAUGGAGCAACGCCGCGUGAACGAUGAAGGCCUUCGGGUCG